CAGCGAAAAAACCUACGAAAUAAAACCUACGAAGAAAAAACAAUGAAAAAAAAGCAGGCGACUCGCACGCACGAGCGAGAGUGCCCUCGAGCGAGGCCUCCAGAUUUCGCCGCCGCUCUCGCACUUGCCGUCGCCGAUGCCUGCGCUACCUCGACGGAAGCCAUCGCAAAUCCAUCCCUUCGCCGCCGCCCUCGCGCUCGCAUCAAGGAUCGAGGACUCCAGAGUGCCCUAAAUCCCUGCGCUACCUCCGUUCGUCGCCGCCGAUCUCGUCGCUACGUCGCUCGCCACGGGCAGGGAUCGGCGUCUCGCCGGCGUGGAGCGUGGCAGGGGAGAGAAGGGUGGGUAAGAUCGGCGGGGCAGAGUUCAUCCGGAAGGACGGCGCGGUGGACGACAUGUACGGAUACCUCAACUACCUGUCCCUCGAGUAUGACUCGUCUCGGACACCAAUCCUGCUUGGGUAUUUUCAAGGUCCAUGCUUCAAAUAUAAAUAAGAUUUUGUCCUUCUAUCUGAAACUUGAUCUUCUGCUUAUGUUUGCAUUUGCUAUCGAUGAUGUGAAUUUGAGCAAAUACCCCACAACGUUUUCACUGAGUUUGGAUAGCAUAUUUUAUGUAGGUUGGUGAGAAGCGAGGCCGACUCAUAUUUGAUGAAGAAUGAUGUGCAACCAGUAAGAAGAUUAGGAUGGGUAUUCCAGUAAUCCCGUGGAUUAGUCUCUAUAGUUGUUAGCAGCCUAUAAAGCAGAGGUAUCUGUGGCUAAAUAAAUAAAAAUUCAUGACUUACUAUUUCACAAUAUUAGUUUCCACUAUAGUGAUGCUGACUAAAUCAUGCUACUUCUCAUUAUUGCUUUGUCUCUGUUUAUUGCUCGGUAGCAGGGUAUUCCCAUUUAGAAUAUGUUCGUGUGCAUCCACGGCCCCGCCCUCUCUGAAUUGGGGAAUUUCGACCUCCUCUGGCACGCAUGCACCCACGUACUGGAGCUCAUGAUGGAGCAGCACUAAGGCUGAUGCUGAGGGGACACAUAUGGAUAGCGCCGCCUUGCGGCUCAGCAACUCUAUGGCUCGCACCUUGAUUCGUUCGCUGACCUCCUCUGGCGCGCAUGCACCCACGUACUAGAGCUUAUGAAUGAGCAGCACUAAGGCUGAUGCUGAGGGGACACAUAUGGACAGCGCUGCCUCGCGUCUCAGCAGCUCUAUGGCUCGCACCUUGAUUUGUUCGUUGCCACACGCCUCAACUGCUUGGCGACGCGCACGAUUGGUGGAGCCACCUGCCACAUGACUUCGCAGUUCGCGCCUAUUUUGGUUCUUAAGGUUCAUGGCCAUGAUUUUUUUUGGAAUGCAAAAUUUGGUGCGAGUUCAUAUGAAUCACACAAUGCUUCGCAUAAGUUGGUGCAGAUUUAAUCGGGAACUUUGGUAAUACAAAUCCCCCUCCAUUGCCUCUUUUCAUAGUCAGUCAUCGUUUCUAUUUCGAUUUUGGUAGCUAUGCCUAUCCUUGUUAUAGAUCAUAGGGUUGUCAUCUUCACAGAUCAUGAUAUAUAAGUGAUGCAAAAUGCAGACGACCCACAAUCUAUCUGAAACUAUUUAUCUACAGUUGUGUUCUUUUUGGGGUAUCUGAACAUGUCCUAAAGAUUUUGAAGAAAUGGAUAGCCAAAACGGUGGUGUCUUUGGCCAGAUGAUUUGACCAUCAUCUAUGAUCUGGAAGAAGAACCUCUCACACAAACAUGUAUAUUUAUUUGUGAAUCCAAUCAUAACCAGAAUGUAUUUGACCUUUUACAUUUUCCGACAGAAAGUAUGAGCACCUAAAUUUCUUGGAAUUCAGUAGCUCAUGUCUUGGAUACAUAGCUCUGGAAGAUAAUUUGGGGAAGAGACUAGAAGUCAACAAAAUGUGUAUUGUGAUUCUGGUCUAAGAACAUUUUUUCUUGUAUAGCAUGUCUUGGAUGAGAAAGGUCGUGAGAACUUCAAUGAAUACUUCAGCACUGCCAACAGAUGCUGACAAAGAUGAAAAAACAUGAGGUUGCUGACAACAUUGAGUGUGACUUGCUUUUGGUGCUACUGCUGCUGAAGACAAGCUCCAGAAAAAGGUACUAGAAUGCAUUGAAAAGCUCCCACAAGCAGGAAUUAAGUUCUGUGUGCUGACUGUGACAAAAUGGAUAGCUAUCAAUAUUGGGUUCUUGAUUUUUUUUGAUCGAAUCACUGGAUGUUUCCCUGGUUGGUCUGAUGGUGAGGAUCAGAUAGUUCUCUUUGAUGAUGAUGGCACCAACACAGAAGAUGCAGCUUGCGGAUCCCACGGCAGGACUCGGAUGAUGACGAUGAACCUGACUACCUAUUGCAAUCUGAACACCUAAAGAAGUUCUUGUUCUACGGUGACAACGUCAGGCGCAAGGCGGUGGUGGAGACAUGCGCGGACGAGCACGUGCAGAAGCGAACGGUGCUCCACGGCUGCUGCUGUGUCAUCGGAUAUUAGGUGAGAGUGCGGAAGAAAUAAAGGUUGCAUAUGACAUGCACGAGAGGAAAUCAGAGAUGGCUCGGCGAUCCCAAGGCAACAUCGAUAUGCAGCAUAUAGCCAGGACGUCUGGGGUAGUAUCAGAAACGACCGCGUAAAGGGCCUAAACAGUAAGCAAAAAAUCUGCUUGUCAAACAAGCAUACAUAAUCAUGUUCUAUACGAGUUUUUGGAUUAGUAACCUGUCAUGUGCAAUUAAGAAAAUAGCAGCAACAAUGGUAAAAAGGUUAAGAGAAAAUAUGUUUUUGCAAUUGGGACAAUCAUGUCAAAUACUGAGAAAAUCUGGUUGCGCAAUCGGGAUAUGAUCAGGUCAAAAAUAAUAUUAACAAUAUGUAGUGCUUAAUUUAUUUUUAUAUUUGGAGACCCUUGAAAAGAAUAGAAAAGAAAUGAUUAGAUGUUUCCAUGCUAGAUCUAUUUUAUUUGUUUCACUACUGCAACAGUAACAUGGAAUGAAUAGCAAAGAGUAUGAGCAAAUUUGAUUUACAGAAACCGGCAAAAAAAAUCUUGAAUUAGGGAAGUAAUAAUGCUUAAUUUAUUUUUAUAUUUGGAAACCCUUGAAAACAAUAGAAAAGAAAUGAUUAGAUGUUAACACCCUAGAUCCAUUUUAUUCGUUUCACUAUUGCAACAGUAACAUGGAAUGAGCAAGAAAGAGUAUGACGCUGCGUUUGGAUGUCUCCAUUGGUGCCCAGGAAAUGGAUUUGGUAAUCAUGUGACAUCAAUACAGCUGUUUGGCUGGACACUGAAUUCGUAUUGGAAAUGAAAAACCAUUUCAGACCUAUUUUGGCUACCACGUAAGUCUCCCUUGCAUGUUUCAGAGGGCUACCCCUUCGAAUUGGACUGAAAUGGCCAACCUCCCGCAAAACGUACCUGUUCGAGCCCGCUACCAGAAAAUAAAAGAGAGAAAGGAGCGAGAGGGCGACCUCGCGAUGACCUAGCAGGUAGCGGGCGGGUGGCCGCGGCGACCUAGCAGGUGGGUGGCGGCGGCGACCACCAUGGAGUCCGACGGCGUCAAGGAUGCCCUCCUCCCCGGUCCUUUCCCUCUUUCCCAACUCCUCUUCUCCGCCCCACCGAGCCACACCCCGCCAUGGAGGUCGGCGGCGGCCCAGGACCGGCGCGCCCCGCUCCCAUAUGCCACUCCGUGUCGUCCUUCCCGGCCACCAUGCCCCGCCCUCCUCGGCCACGCCCCACCAUCCUCUGCCCCUCUUCUGCUCCAUGACCGAAAGAGCUGCUGCUCCUCUUCUGCUCCAUGGCUGAAGGAGAUGCAUUGCUAGAAUAUUUGUUAUUUUACUGCUAUUUCAUUUAAUUAUAGUCGCAUGUGAUCAGAUUUCAUUUUUGAGUCAUCUAGAACAUGGUAUAAUUUUCAUGGUAAUAUAGCUAUGCAAUUCCAAAGUUUGUCAUCCAAACAUGAUUUGGUAUUGAAACCUCAAAGGCAUUUCAAGGAGCAAUUCAGUGGACAACCAAACAUGCGAUUUCAUAUUCGUGCCAUUUCAGUUUCCUCACUGGUUUGAAACCAGCAAAUUUGAUAAGUAAUAGAUUUUCUGUUGUAGGUUUGUUUUUCCUUUUGCGGAGUUGCAAUAGUAACAUGCAAUUGUAGGCUACUAGAUGGAACAAUCAUGAAAGAGUAGGAGCUAACUUUAUUUUGAAAAUAGGAAGGUUAGAUUUUGCAAUAGUAUAGCAUGCCAACAUAUUUUUCAUAAUAGGAAUGGUAGCAUUUUUCAUAACAGUAGUAAUUCCAGAUUUGUUAACUUGCGGAUCAAGUGGGUAGGCUUCUAAAAAGGCAGUUGACUAAAGAUGAGCAAAGGGUUGUGUACGCUUAGAAAGGAUGUCUUGGAGAGUGUUGAAUGAUGGAGGGACAAAGUAGGUGUCGGCUUUGGCUUGUGUUCCUCUUGAGACUGUGCAACCCAACUUGGAAAGAAGGCAAGAAGGUGGUGGCAUACAAGACAUCAAGAGCAAGAAACCGAUGAUUUGUGAAUGGAAGAGGAUCAGAUUUAGUUCCAAUGUCAGAAACCGAAGAUCUCUUACACAAUAGUUUUUGUGUAAGAGAAAUUACCGUCGACAACCAGAGUAUGAUCUUGAUAGCUUGAAACAAGGUAGACUAUCUCAUGACCUUGAUUUGUAUUAGAGUGUGUAUGUGUAUGUAUAAGUGUAAAACAUAUUCAUACUAUUUAUCACCUGUAGUCAUUGUUGUGCAUUACA